rnacentral:rRNA from 1 species
GACGAACGCUGGCGGCGUGCCUAAUACAUGCAAGUCGAACGAACCGCGACUGAGUGCUUGCACUUGGUCAAGGUGAGUGGCGAACGGGUGAGUAACACGUGGGUAACCUACCUCAUAGUGGGGGAUAACAGUCGGAAACGACUGCUAAUACCGCAUAGGACAUGGAAUCACAUGAUUCUGUGAGGAAAGGUGGCGCAAGCUAUCGCUAAGAGAUGGACCCGCGGUGCAUUAGCUAGUUGGUAGGGUAAGGGCCUACCAAGGCGAUGAUGCAUAGCCGACCUGAGAGGGUGAUCGGCCACAUUGGGACUGAGACACGGCCCAAACUCCUACGGGAGGCAGCAGUAGGGAAUCUUCCGUAAUGGACGCAAGUCUGACGGAGCAACGCCGCGUGAGUGAAGAAGGUCUUCGGAUCGUAAAGCUCUGUUGUUAGAGAAGAACAGCGCAUAGAGUAACUGUUAUGCGUGUGACGGUAUCUAACCAGAAAGCCACGGCUAACUACGUG